CACACCACGAACUCCACUUCCCAGCCUGCACCGCGGCCUACAAACAUGGCCGCCACGGACUGCGAUUCCCCGACCACUCACACACUGAAGCAGGAUUCAAGAAUGACAGAAAGAUGGAGGAAGCAAAGUACAGAGCUGGAAUUUCCUCAGGGAUAUUAUGGAACAGAUUUUGUGGAUUGAGAAGGGAAACAUGAGUUUAAUCCGUUUUAAAGAAACAUUUUCUAUCAUAAAUUGUAGCAAAAUAUUUUUUUAAGUGAAUGGGCCCGUGACCCUGAAAAGGAGUAAGCGGUAGAAGACGGAUGGAUGGCUGGAUGGUCUGAAUGCUUUUUUCUACAGUCUGUCAUUUUGAAUCAGCAGGGAAUGGAAGGAAUGAACCUGAGAACAACUUGCAUCUCUGCCCCGCCCUGCUCAUGAAUGUGUGAAGGACUGGUCAUGUGUUUUUAGAUGAGUCCAGCUGAGCAGGUUCUUCUGGGUGAUCUGGGUGUGGCUGUCAUCACCUACACUCUCGCGUGCACACACACAGCCUAAUGAUGACCUCCUUCGCUUGCAUCGUCACCUCUUUGGACCGCACAUUGAGAGUUCCCAAGAACGGCUAACAAAUGCAAAUUCA
ensembl:lncRNA